AAGUACAGAUUUUAAGCAGUGUUUGUUUAAAAUGUUCAGCCUGCCAGUUAAAAAAGAAUACUCCUACACACCAGGAAUGGAGGGGAAGAUGGGCGAUAGGGGCUGCAUUCCCUGCUUGGAGGAGGGGGAGAGAAGCAAACAGGAGAAAGGUGUUUCCUCAGCAUCCCUCCUGCUGGAUGUGCAGCCCAAGACGUAUGCCACCUGCACUGCAGCUUUGCCUGCCUCUCAGGCCCCACAACAGCCUUCAGGAGCGUUUUGCACCCUCCAUCCCAUGUGCAGGUCAGCCCAAAGACAGCUUAGGUGCUCAGAGGGCACAAAGAAGGUGAGGAGGUAAGGAAACACUCCCCUCUAUACCCACCUCUCCUUACCUAAAAGCACAAUCCUUUCUCUAAUUAAGACUUCAUCUCUUCAGCUAACGUGGCCAAGGGGCACAUCAGUAGCAGGUGAAAUCCAGGAGCGGUGGUUGAGAUCUCCCUCAUCAAUGACAAAUGCAUCACCUCUGCUCUGGACACAUCCCUGCCCUGCCAGUCACCAGCCCCUGGAUUGCCACCUGAUGCUGAAGAGGCAGACAAGCACAAGCUCAUCCAGGAGGAGCAGAUCUUGAGGAACAUCUCCACGAGACGCAGGGGGCAAAAGAGGCUCAGUCAGUCUGGUGAAGACUCUUCAGCUUCUAGGGGGACAUGUCUGAAGCUGGAUGUGCACGGAAAGCGAAGUGAGCGUGGCCAGUCCUCACGGUCUGCCCCUGCCACUCGUCCCCUUGCUGCAGUGUGGAGCGUGGCAGCUAGCAGGGUGAGUGCAGCUUGGCCUUUUCCAGAUGGCACGAGGUGAAGUUUGUCCUUCCUCGUGUGGAGCUCCUAAGUGCGUAGGACACAGGUUUGCUGCAUGGCAGCACUGGAGAAUGGAAGC